AUCUGCCCCAGAAGACCCUUGAUUUACUGUUGCCACCCCAUAAACCCGAUGAGAUGACCGUAGGAAAGGUGUAUGCAGCUCUGAUGAUACUUGACUUCUACAAACAGAACAAGACACCCAGAGACCAGAUUCACCAGGCCACGGGAGGCCUGUCCCAGAUGGGCCCUGUGUCCCUGUUCCACCCUCUGAAGGCCACGCUGGAGCAGACACAGCCGGCUGUGCUCCGAGGAGCCCGGGUUUUCCUUCGGCA